ACAAAAGAAUGAAUGAGACCUCGAUAUUAUGUAAAUAGAGGAAUUUAUCUAUAAAUAUAUAAUGUAGGACAAUCAGUUAGUUGUCAUAAUAAUACUCAGUUUUAGAUGCCCCAGUUAAAAGCUUCUAGGUAUUUUCAUCAGUGAUUAAGACAAGAAUGCUAUCCAAAAAAAAUGUUAAAUAAA